GGAAGUUUUCGGAUGGAAGUACUUAGUGGCGGACGGGUGAGUAACGCGUGGGAACCUGCCCUGUACCGGGGGAUAACACUUAGAAAUAGGUGCUAAUACCGCAUAAGUUCACAUGAGAAAAACUCCGGUGGUACAGGAUGGUCCCGCGUCUGAUUAGCCAGUUGGCAGGGUAACGGCCUACCAAAGCGACGAUCAGUAGCCGGCCUGAGAGGGUGAACGGCCACAUUGGGACUGAGACACGGCCCAAACUCAUACGGGAGGCAGCAGUGGGGAAUAUUGCACAAUGGGGGAAACCCUGAUGCAGCGACGCCGCGUGAGUGAAGAAGUAUUUCGGUAUGUAAAGCUCUAUCAGCAGGGAAGAAAAUGACGGUACCUGACUAAGAAGCCCCGGCUAACUACGUGCCAGCAGCCGCGGUAAUACGUAGGGGGCAAGCGUUAUCCGGAUUUACUGGGUGUAAAGGGAGCGUAGACGGCAUGACAAGCCAGAUGUGAAAACCCAGGGCUCAACCCUGGGACUGCAUUUGGAACUGCCAGGCUGGAGUGCAGGAGAGGUAAGCGGAAUUCCUAGUGUAGCGGUGAAAUGCGUAGAUAUUAGGAGGAACACCAGUGGCGAAGGCGGCUUACUGGACUGUAACUGACGUUGAGGCU
rnacentral:rRNA from 1 species